GCGUUGGUGGUGCAACGGUUUAGCGUACCCUCCCGGAAAGAGUGAGAUCUGGGUUCGGAUCCCAGCUGACACA